UUUUUGGUUUCUCGCAAUAGCGUUCGGUUUACUUGGUCAGGUUCGGAAGAAAGCAGCCAGAAUUGAAAUGUUUAUGUGCCGAGUUUUGCUGGAAACGC
rfam:[Actinobacillus] muris strain Ackerman80-443D cont74, whole genome shotgun sequence.